rnacentral:rRNA from 1 species
UACGAAGGGGGCGAGCGUUGUUCGGAAUCACUGGGCGUAAAGCGCACGUAGGCGGAUUCGUAAGUUAGAGGUGAAAGCCCGGGGCUCAACUCCGGAAUUGCCUUUAAGACUGCAUCGCUAGAAUUGUGGAGAGGUAAGUGGAAUUCCGAGUGUAGAGGUGAAAUUCGUAGAUAUUCGGAAGAACACCAGUGGCGAAGGCGACUUACUGGACACAUAUUGACGCUGAGGUGCGAAAGCGUGGGGAGCAAACAGG